rnacentral:lncRNA from 1 species
CAGUAGCCGGAAUAGGUUGGGAUUCGGGGUAGGGCUUGGUGGUUUCCCAAAGCGACUAAGGAGUCUUGUACUUGAAGUUUUCAGAGCCAAACAGUUGUUUACGAGGACAACACUCACUUAUUUCUCCUAUUCUCUUUAGGUUGUUACGCUCUGGUACCGGGCUCCUGAAGUUCUUCUGCAGUCUACAUAUGCAACGCCUGUGGAUAUGUGGAGUGUUGGCUGUAUCUUCGCAGAGAUGUUUCGCCGGAAGCCUCUCUUCUGUGGGAACUCUGAGGCUGACCAGCUGGGCAAAAUCUUUGAUCUCAUUGGAUUGCCUCCAGAAGACGACUGGCCUCGAGAGGUCUCUCU